AAAGCCUUUUAAAUUAAUCCAGUGAGGUUAAAAAAGAGCAUAUGCUAAAAACCGAUUUUAUAUUUUUUACCAAAACCCGUACGCUGUAACUAGCGUUACGGGUUUUUUAUU
rfam:Elusimicrobium minutum Pei191, complete genome.